GAGAAUCACGCAAGCGCCUCUAGCGGCUGUCAAUGAGACAGCCACUAGAGGAAUUGAGGGCUGGAUUAACCCAUUUAUAAACAUAACAGUUUCUCUGAAACUGCUAUGUUUAUAAAAAAAAAAAGGGUUAAUCCUAACUGGACCUGGCAACCAGACCACUUCAUUAAGCUGAAGUGGUCUGGGUGCCUAGAGUGGUCCUUUAAUGGCAAAAGUUGUGAUUCUGAGAGUGAUCUUUAUAGCUGCAGCAAUCUGUGUAUUAAUUGUAUCACUUAUAUAGCUAGAGAUCUAAGGUAAAUAAAAUAAAUAGGACUUAAAAACAGUCGUAAACAAAAAGCAAACUGUCAAGAUUCCUGGCAGUGAAUGUUAAUGCCAGGGGGACAUUCUGACACAAACAAACUGCAAGGUGACAGAGACGUUUUUAUAUUAAAUGAUUAACUUUUUUUUUU